rnacentral:rRNA from 1 species
UGCCAGCCGCCGCGGUAACACGAACCGUCCAAACGUUAUUCGGUAUCACUGGGCUUAAAGCGUGCGUAGGCGGCUUGGUAGGCGAGAUGUGAAAUCCCACGGCUCAACCGUGGAACUGCGUUUCGAACCCCCAAGCUCGAGGAAGAUAGGGGUGAUGGGAACUUAUGGUGGAGCGGUGAAAUGCGUUGAUAUCAUAGGGAACACCGGUGGCGAAAGCGCAUCACUGGAUCUUUUCUGACGCUGAGGUGCGAAAGCGUGGGGAGCAAACAGGAUUAGAUA